rnacentral:rRNA from 1 species
UACGUAGGGUGCAAGCGUUGUCCGGAAUUAUUGGGCGUAAAGAGCUCGUAGGCGGUGUGUCGCGUCGGCCGUGAAAACCUGGGGCUCAACUCUGGGCGUGCGGUCGAUACGGGCAUCACUUGAGUUCGGCAGGGGAGACUGGAAUUCCUGGUGUAGCGGUGAAAUGCGCAGAUAUCAGGAGGAACACCGGUGGCGAAGGCGGGUCUCUGGGCCGAUACUGACGCUGAGGAGCGAAAGCGUGGGGAGCGAACAGG